GAAGAGUAGGGGCCCGGACGCUGCAGCAGGCGGGGCACCCGGACUGGCGGCUUCGCUGGCGCAAGGUCGGUCCGGCGGCCAGGGACCUGGAAGGCUGCGAGGCCCUGCGAAGUCGAGGUUCGGAGUUUGCUGGUCCCAGGCCCGGCCCGAGGUAAGAAAGAGCCGCCUCCCCGCACGGCCGGAGGACCCGGGCGCCCCGAGUUCGACUUCUCAACCUCCGUCCGGACGGGAAACGGAGCACGGAGAUGUUCCUGAGGUCUCUUCCCUGGGAAGCGCAGCCCCGAUUUUCCGCCCCUGUCCCUUAGCAGGUCGCCGACCAUCCGAGCGCUGGGCAUCGGCCCACGCGUACAGAAGGCGCUCAAUAAAUGCUCACUAGUGAAUCAGUAAAAUAAAUCGGCAGCAAAGAGAGACGAGACGCGUGCUGAUCUUCAGGUGUUGGGGAAAUCAGGGACGCGAACAUUUAUUGAGCUCUUAUUGUAUACCCCGUCGGCCAGCAUUUGUGUCCAUUUCACACAUGAGGAAUAAGAGGCCCAGAGAGGUGAAGUGACUUCCUUAAGGCCACACAGAUAAGAUAGUAAGUGGCCGAGACGAAUUUGAAACCAGGGGUGUCCUGUUUCAACUUGGUGCCAAAUAGAGUAACUCGGACUCCAGUUGGAGGGGUUCGGGAGAACCAUAGAAGAGGAAGGGCCGUGUCUUCCGUGGACAGGCCACCGGAGCCACCAGCUGUUUGGAACUGAGCUACUGCAGAAAGGGAAGUGGAGAGUAAGGGCCAGGCCCCGUGGGGGCAGAUGGCCGGCAGAUGGCUGAAUCUGCACUGGGCACUGAGUGUGCUUUGUGUGCUGCUAAUGGCGGAGACAGUGUCUGGGACUAGGGGCUCGUCUACAGGAGCUCACAUUAGCCCCCGGUUUCCAGCUUCAGUGUCGCAAGGUGUGUGGCCUGAAUGUCUCUGACCGCUGUGACUUCAUCCGGACCAACCCUGACUGCCACAGUGAUGGGGGGUACCUGGACUACCUGGAAGGCAUCUUCUGCCACUUCCCUCCCAGCCUCCUCCCUCUGGCUGUCACUGUCUACGUUUCCUGGCUGCUCUACCUGUUUCUGAUUCUGGGAGUCACCGCAGCCAAGUUUUUCUGCCCCAACUUGUCGGCCAUUUCUACCACACUGAAGCUCUCCCACAACGUGGCAGUAUCCUUUUGUCCAGUGUCCUGCACCCUGGAGGGAGGGCAGUUGUGGGGAGGCUGGGAGAUAGGGUCAUGUCUAUCCCCGUGUGGGGAAGCUGGGGGAUAGGGUCGAAGGCCUGGGUGGGCUGCAGCUGCGAUCCUGGCCCGCCUUGACAUGCUCCCCACAUGGCGUCACCUUCCUGGCAUUUGGGAAUGGUGCACCUGACAUCUUCAGUGCCCUGGUGGCCUUCUCUGACCCGCACACAGCCGGCCUGGCCCUUGGGGCACUGUUUGGUGAGAGCAGCCCCAGUGAGGGGGGCGGGGAAAGCAGCAGGAGAGGGUGCAGGGUGGCUGAGCACUGGCCUCCUCCCCCCAGGUGCUGGCGUGCUGGUUACCACAGUGGUGGCCGGAGGCAUUACCAUCCUACACCCCUUCAUGGCUGCCUCCAGGCCCUUCUUCAGGGACAUCAUUUUCUACAUGGUGGCUGUGUUCCUGACCUUCCUCAUGCUCUUCCGUGGCAGGGUCACGCUGGCAUGGGCUCUGGGUGAGCAGCUCUGGGGCUCAGGCGUGAGAUCCCAGGGCUGAUGGGCAGGAGGUUUAGGAGGUGCCUGGGACAGAGAGGUGUGAGGGGUGGUCAGUGGGGGCUUUGAUUACAAGUGACAGAAACCCUCCUCAAGCUGGCUUGAGCAAAAAUGGGAACAUGUGGGUCACAUAACCAAAGAGGCCUGGCAGAGCUGGGGGCUGGGGAGGGAGUAUUCAAAAGUGUCACAAUUUUUUGGCCAAGCGUGAUGGCUCACACCUAUCAUCCCAGCAAUUUGAGAGACUGAGGCAGGAGGAUCACUUUGGUUCAGGAGUUUGAGACCAGCCUGGGCAACAUAGCGAGACUACAUCUCUAC
rnacentral:sRNA from 1 species